AGGGCAGGGCAGGGCAGCAGAUUUAAAGGGGCAAACAGCACUUGCAGGCCCCAAAUAACAGCCACUCCCAAUCACCUGCUCCGCAUUGAAGCGGCAGCUUCUCCCAAGUGAUGAGGAACCCACCUCAGGAAGUUCUUCUGCCCAAGCCCCCAAAACCUCCUGGGAAAAGCCCUUGCCAAAGUCACCUGCCACCGCUGCCGACUCACCUGCCUCCAGGGCAGAAAGUGCUCAGCACUCUUGAUAGUGCUUAGCUGGCAGCAUGUGUGGGGUGACUACCCCGUUAGCGGGGUGCGGGUCGGGGUGCCCCUGAAUCGGAGAGAAGGAGCCUCCGUGGGCCUUUGGGACCAGGGCUGCCCUGUAAGUCAGGGCCCGGCCAGUGCCCUGCAGUCCCGGGCGCUUUGCGGUCCAGGCAGCGGCUCGAGCCCCCUGUAAGCAGGGACGCGGAGCCUCGUUGGCCGCUGCUUUGCAUGCCCAGCUUCGUUUGCCCAGGGUGCCCGCCUCCGAGCCCGGCUCCAGCACCGGCUGGAACUCCGCAGGCGGCAGCGGUGGCGCCCGAGGGAGCACCGGAGCGCCAAUUCGCAGCUGCUGGUGGAGAAGGAAGAAGAGGCAUCUGUCGUGUGUGGACAAGAGCGAGCGAGAGGAGGAGCGGCAACGGGCUGAAGAAGGGGCAAGAGACAGGCCCUCCUGGGAAGGGGAUCUCCCUGUCUUCGGAGCUGCGGUCGCCUAAGGCGUCUGUGCCCCUUGGGGGUGUUUUCUGUGCCUCUGGAGCAGCUACUUGGCUCAUUGCAGUUCCCAAGACUUUUUGAAGCUCCCGGUCUGAACGUUUCUCUUUCAGCACUUGCACAGGGGAGGAAGCCGGUGGGCCUCAGCCUCUGGAAGAACAUGUUUCUCCUCUCUGUCCUGAAACAGCUUCUGUUGCUGCCCUUUCCCCAGCUAUUCACUGCUGGGGAUACUCAAUAAAAUGCUUUCU